AAUCAACGCUGGCGGCGUGCCUAACACAUGCAAGUCGAGCGCGAAUGGGGAGCAAUCCCCUAGUAGAGCGGCGAACGGGUGAGUAACACGUGGGUGAUCUGCCUCCGAGUGGGGAACAACAGCGGGAAACUGCUGCUAAUACCGCAUGACAUCAUCGAGUCACAUCGAUGAUCAAAGCCGGGGACCGCAAGGCCUGGCGCUUGGAGAGGAGCCCGCGUCCGAUUAGCUAGUUGGCGGGGUAAUGGCCCACCAAGGCUCCGAUCGGUAGCCGGCCUGAGAGGGCGGACGGCCACACUGGGACUGAGACACGGCCCAGACUCCUACGGGAGGCAGCAGUGGGGAAUUUUGGACAAUGGGGGCAACCCUGAUCCAGCAAUGCCGCGUGAGUGAAGAAGGCCUUCGGGUUGUAAAGCUCUUUUGUCAGGGAAGAAACACCGGCUCUAACACAGUCCGGGAAUGACGGUACCUGAAGAAUAAGCACCGGCUAACUACGUGCCAGCCGCCGCGGUAACAC
rnacentral:rRNA from 1 species